rnacentral:rRNA from 1 species
CUUUCUUUGCUGGCGACCGGCGCACGGGUGAGUAACACGUAUCCAACCUGCCCUUUACUCGGGGAUAGCCUUUCGAAGGAAAGAUUAAUACCCGAUAGCAUAAUGAUUCCGCAUGGUUUCAUUAUUAAAGGAUUCCGGUAAAGGAUGGGGAUGCGUUCCAUUAGGUUGUUGGUGAGGUAACGGCUCACCAAGCCUUCGAUGGAUAGGGGUUCUGAGAGGAAGGUCCCCCACAUUGGAACUGAGACACGGUCCAA